CCAAAGUAGUUGACAGAAAAUGUCCGUCUCUCAGCCUGCGAUGGUCGUUCGCUGUUUGCUCGUUGUGUGUGUGAGACGCUCCCUGUGGAGAGGUUUUCACUUUGGGAGCUAAAUUUAGAGAUCCCUCAACUCCGGUAAUGUGUACACGUUGCGUUUGUUUGAGGGGGCGACGAUACCUUGGAACUGUUCCCAUGGUGCUUUCUUCUGGCCGGAGUGGUUCCCGUAAACAGAAAUGUAUAUUACAAAAAACGACGAGGCGCCGUGGUUCUCAGAAAAUCCAGCGAACCGGAGGAAGGUGCAACCUCUCUGAAAUCGCGGCACGGAACACCCAGGGGAAGGUGAAAGGGGAGAGAUGAUGGUGACAGAGGCGAGCAUCCCUCAGUAGUCUUCAGUGGUACCCCAUCUGGGAGGAUAGCAAUUCCGGGUGCACGUGAAAGAACCUCCGACUGUUGAUGUUACCCGCCGGGACGUCCAGCUUGUCCCCCUUGAUUAUUAACCCAUCUUCAGUCAUUAGCAAUGGUGACAGCUCAUGCAUUUUAUACGGCUCAAUAAAGUUCUCGUGUAGCGAU